ensembl:lncRNA
GGGGGAGAGCGGGGGAGAGAGGGGGAGGUGUACAGUUCGGUUCACCGUUUUCUCCGCACCGAGCCUCUCUGCGUUAUUGUGAACAUGAGGCGGCCGCUCGGCGCUCCGCGGACGGACGCGGCGUGUCGGCGCGCAGCAUAAAGGCGGAACCUGAGCCGAGCAGCGGAGCGGCGGAGCGGCGGCCCCGGAUCUGGAUCAGGAUCUGGAGUCUUUUGGACCAAACAGCUGUUGAUGGAUCCGGAGUAGAUGAUGGUCGGUUCUGGUGUUGGUCACUGAGGUGGAAACAGGCUGAGAGGAGACGGCUGAUGUCAGUGAUGCAUGCUGGGAAUUUAAAUACUGUUUUAAACAGCUGGAACCAGUUCAGUCCUGCGAUGGCUUCUCCUGUAAAAUGGAUGAUUUAAAGCAGAAACAAUGAAAACAAGGACACACAAAGAAUCGAUGCCCAUGCGCAGUGGGCGCCGACGGGGGGCGAGUGAGGAGCGACGGGGCAGACGACCACACAGCAGCCCGACGCGACCUGAACGCAACGACAGGCAGACGAGAGGCGCUGCUGAGGAUUUGGCUGCAAGUCACUUCAGCCGCAGAUCCCAGGGCCAUGAUUCGUCAGAGAGCGAAGGGGAGGAGCUGGUGUCUCCUCCGAAGAGGCAGAAAGUUCAGGAUUCGGCCUCGACUCCGAACCCUCCAACAUCGACUCACUCCACCGACAGCUCGGCUCCCUCCACAGUCCCGCCUCCAACCUCUGCUGCCAGCCAAUCCCGCGAGAGCGACAAUGAGGACGGCCAAUCGCAGGGCAGCAGGAGUUCAGUGGUGGGCAGCCUGGCCAAUAGCAGCAGCAGUCUGAGCAGCGGGCGGGACAUCGACCAGGACAACCGGUCGUCCUCCCCCAGCCUGUCGGCCUCCCCCCUGGGCAGCCUGGACUCCGACUCGGACGGACCUGAUUCACCCAAGCAGGGAGACAAAGGAAAGGAGGGGAAGGUGUCGGGGGAGGACAGGAGGCGAGGGGAGGAGUCCUGUGGAGACGAAAAGAGAGACGUGGACGCCCGAUUGGAGGACUGUCCGUCCCUGAAGCCCCCCUCUACCCCCUGCUCCACCCCCUCCGCCGACAGGAAGUCCUUCUUCUCCCUCGACUCCAAGCUCAUGUGUAAAGUCGAGUUCGGUGGCAGCGAAGCAGCGCUCGCCGGCAGCAGGAUGACCUCCAAAGCUAGCACGCAGUGCGUUACCAAGACAACCAUCUCUGGGGCAGAUUUCUCACACAACAGCCCCAACCUGCCUCACCCACUGCCCCCACCACUACCCCUCCACCGGCCCUGAAGCCCCUGGAGUUCGGGCAGGUGGAGGUGAAAGUGGAGCGAGACAAACCAGACAAACCAGACAAACUGCUGGACAAGGCUCAGUCCGCCCCCCCCUCACUGCUGCCCCAGACCCCCCCUCAGCCCUCCGCCCACCACUACACCACCCCCAGCUGGCAGGGCGGCACGGCACCUGGUUGCCAGGGGAGCUGGGGCUAUUCCCGUUACCCCAGCAACCACCACCCACCACAGCCCCCAGUGCAACAGCAGCAGCUGCCCUCUGUGUACAACCCCCCCUCCGCCCGUCACUCUGCCUCCCAGCCCUCUUACCUCCCCCACCCUCACCCCCACCCCCACAGGGAGUACCUGCCCAGGUACGCUGGAGGGGGGGCGGACCGAG